rnacentral:rRNA from 1 species
GGCGAACGCUGGCGGCGUGGAUUAGGCAUGCAAGUCGAACGGUAGGAUACCUUCGGGUAUCUGAGAGUGGCGAACGGGUGAGUAACACGUAGGUGAUCUACCCUCAAGAUUGGGACAACCCAGGGAAACUUGGGCUAAUACCGGAUGAAAGCAGCAGUGAUGUUGUUUGAAAGGUGGCGUAAGCUGCCGUUUGGGGAUGAGCCUGCGCUCUAUUAGUUAGUUGGCGGGGUAAAGGCCCACCAAGGCGAUGAUAGAUAGGCGGCCUUAACGGGUGGUCGCCCACACUGGGAUUGAGAUACGGCCCAGACUCCUACGGGAGGCAGCAGUCGAGAAUAGUCUACAAUGGCCGAAAGGCUGAUAGUGCGACGCCGCGUGAACGAAGAAGCCCUUCGGGUGUAAAGUUCUUUUAUAUGUGAGCAGUGCUUUCUAUGUGAACAGCAUGGGGAGAGAGAUAUUAGCAUAUGAAUAAGCAACGGCUAACUCCGUGCCAGC